rnacentral:rRNA from 1 species
AAUGAACGUUGGCGGCGUGGAUUAGGCAUGCAAGUCGCGCGACAAGGAACCUUCGGGUUCUGGAGGAGCGGCAAACGGGGUAGUAAGGCAUCGGAACGUACCCUCUUGUUGGGAAUAGCCGCGGGAAACUGCGAGUAAUGCCCAAUAAUCCCUACGGGGCAAAGGUCCGCCGCAGGAGGAGCGGCCGAUGUGAUACCAGCUAGUUGGUGAGGUAAUGGCUCACCAAGGCUUAGACGUCUAGGGGUGUGAGAGCAUGGCCCCCACCACUGGACGUGAGAUACUGCCCACGACACCUACCGGUGGCGUGCAGUCGA